AGCGAACGCUGGCGGCAGGCCUAACACAUGCAAGUCGAACGAACUCUUCGGAGUUAGUGGCGGACGGGUGAGUAACACGUGGGAACGUGCCUUUUGGUUCGGAAUAACUCAGGGAAACUUGUGCUAAUACCGAAUGUGCCCUUCGGGGGAAAGAUUUAUCGCCAUUAGAGCGGCCCGCGUCUGAUUAGCUAGUUGGUGAGGUAACGGCUCACCAAGGCGACGAUCAGUAGCUGGUCUGAGAGGAUGACCAGCCACACUGGGACUAAGACACGGCCCAGACUCCUACGGGAGGCAGCAGUGGGGAAUCUUGCGCAAUGGGCGAAAGCCUGACGCAGCCAUGCCGCGUGAAUGAUGAAGGUCUUAGGAUUGUAAAAUUCUUUCACCGGGGACGAUAAUGACGGUACCCGGAGAAGAAGCCCCGGCUAACUUCGUG
rnacentral:rRNA from 1 species